CCUACGGGUGGCAGCAGUGAGGAAUAUUGGUCAAUGGGCGCAAGCCUGAACCAGCCACGCAGCGUGAAUGAAGACUGCCUUCCGGGUUGUAAACUCUUUUUAUAAAGGAAUAAAGUGAGGCACGUGAGCCUUUUCGUGUGUACUUUAUGAAUACGGAGCGGCUAACUCUGGGCCAGCAGCCGCGGUAAUACGGAGGGUACGAGCGUUACCCGGUUUGAUUGGGUUUAAAGGGCGCGUAGAUGGUUUGUUAAGUCAGUUGUGAAAGUUUGCGGUUCAACCAUAGAAUUGCAAUUGAUACUGGCAGUCUUGAGUGCAGUUGAGGUAAGCGGAAUUCGUGGUGUAGCGGUGAAAUGCGUAGAUAUCACGAAGAACACCAGUGGCGAAGGCAGCUUACUAAACUGCAACUGACAUUGAGGCUCGAAAGUGUGGGUAGCAAACAGGAUUAGAUACCCCAGUAGUC
rnacentral:rRNA from 1 species